UCGAUUAUUGCUUCGGACCCUGGGGGCCGAGUGGACAAUGGGUAUCACGGGACCAGGGUACUAGGAACGGGGGACUGCGUCGCAUUCCCUCAGUGUAACAGAGAGACGGGCCCAGGCUGAGUGGCUGCUGGACACCCGGUGGACCCGCCUGCGCUGUGCAGAGGCCAACCGAGGGCCCCUGCGGUGGGAGCCGGCCAACCACUGAGAUGUGGGACCUCUGUGCUUCCUAGAGGAGCGGUGAGGAGCGGGUGGAGGCGUGCCCGGGCGUCGUGACGUACUUCCGGCCUCGUGUGAGCCACAGCUAGCGCGAGCCUUUUCCGGCGGGAGGCGCCCGCGAGGCUUGGUGGCCGCUCCCCGAGACGCAGGCUCGUCUGUUUCGCCGCCCGCGGACGUGGACGCGAGCGCUGCGCGGACCACCCGCUUCGGGGCUCCGGGCGCUGGUGCGUCUUGAAGGCCGGCGGUGGUUUUCUGUCCCCCUCCGGAGUCCUGUUUUCAUCGAGGCCUUCGUGGCGGUGGUCAUGACCUUGCACGCCUGUGCCGGGAGGGUUCGUCUCGGAGGACGUAUGGUGACGGGGUCUCAGGACUUAGAAAACGGAGGAAAGUGUGAUUUCCUCGGCUCAGAGAACGUUGAGAAGUGAGCGCGUCCUUCGAGCGGACAUGGGCUGCCGGUCGCGUAGUGCGGGUCUCCAGGUGCUUUUAAGACCCCUCCAGCUCACAGUGCCGUGGGGAAGAGGGGAACACCCCUGCGAUACCGCGCGGAUGCCCGGAGCCGGGGGUGGGGGCACCUCCCGGUGAGGCGGAGAGCUGAGCGGAAACGGGCGGCCGGAGGCGGCCGAGGGAAGCUGGGUGUGCUGUGGCCGGGGUAGAGAGGAUGAGCAGGUGACAGCUGCGAUACCCCAGGGAACUUGGACUUGAAAAGGUAGUGUGCCUCUCCGUCCUUUCCGUGUGACGGCUCCCGCACAGAAUGCACGCGAUGUGUGUGCGCACACUGCCUCGCAGAAGGGAGCAGGCCCCGGCUACGCUGCCCCGGGUCCGCGCGCGGCCACCUCGUAGCCCAGGUGGUCAAUGUGCCGGCGCUGCUCCGGGAGGCGGACUCCGCAGAGACGGGAGUCCCUGUCUUCACGCACGGGAGUAGCGUCAUCUUACUAGGCUUCUAGAAAUUCCAGGAGCGGGGUGGCAAAUGGAUUGGAAGGGGGUAGGACUGGAAGCAAGAGAGAGGAGAGAUGCGCAGGCGUCACGGAAAGAGCCGGUACUGUAAGUUGGUGAAAGCCAGGUGCUGGCCGUGGAAGUGACGAGGGUGGAGUGGAUUGUGUGGAAGACGCGGAUUUAACUCCACUUGACGUCUAAGGGAGAAAGAUUGUUGAAAAGGUGCUGAGCACAAUGCCCGGCACGUAGUACGUAUUACAAGCUUUAUUUUUAAUAUAGUUAGGGAUAAUUAGGUUUUUGGAUUGGAUAGAUGGUAAGGGGAAUGAAUGUGUCAUUUUUAAAGAAAUGGGUAGGCCCGCCUGAAUGGCUCAGUCGUUAAGUGUCCGGCUCUUGGUUUCUGCUCAAGAUCUUGUGGUUUGUGGGAGCCCUAGUUGGGCUCUGUGCUGACAGUGCCAGAGCAAAGUAAAGUUAAAAAAAAAAAAAAAAAAAAAAGAAAUGAGUAAUUUUGGAAGAGCCAUUGAUUAUGAGGGGAAAAUGAUGAGUUAAUUUUUGGUGGUGUUGAGGUGCUUUUAAGACCUAGGACUGGAAGAGUCUUAUACCAUUGGACUAUAAUGGUCUUGAUCUCCAAAGUAAGGCUGGGAAAAGAGAAUAGAUGUAGGAGUUGUUAGGUGAAAGCGUCUCAGUUCUCAGAUGCUACUGAAUGGACGAGAUUGCCCAGAAUGAAUGUGGAAUGAGAAGGCCAGAUCCCGGCUUAGGGUAAGCUGAAGACAUUUCUUGGCAAGCUGAAGAAAAGCCACAAAGUGGACUUAAGAAUGAGCUUUUGACAAGCCCUUAUAGAAGCUUGAGCACCAAGUGUUGGUCUAAGCACUUUACAAAAGCCAGCUCAUGGGAAAACAGCCAGAAGAUUGCAGUUCCUUAGAAGAUUGGGAGUGGUUAGAGUGUUAGGGACUGCGGGGGGCAUCUGGGCGUCUUUACCUUCAAAUCAUUGACUUGACCACAGCGAUUCACUCUGAGUAAAUAUGUUCUUAGUUUGGAGUUGAUCUCUGUUAACAGUGAUGUGUUAUGCCUUAUCACCAGCCUUAUUAAGCCCCUGCUACUGUUGUGGUGAACUGCUUUGCCCAGCAAUGAUUCAGUCCAACCCUUUUGGGCUGCAGAAGAACAGAAGGGAUGUCAAAUAGUUAAAGCAUCUAGCCUGCACAGAAAUGGUGCUUCUGACAGUUCUUCGGACAAAACUCAUGGCAGUUCUGUUAGGAGGAUUCCCUUGGGCCUCGGGAGUCCAGCUCCAGGCAGGCUCUCCGCCGCCAGUGGCUGCGGCCCGAGACACACAGCAAGGAGCAGAUCCUGGAGCUGCUGGUGCUGGAGCAGCUCAUGACCAUCCUGCCCGCGGAGCUCCAGGCCUGGGUGUGGGGCAGCAUCCAGUGUAUAGGGAGGAGGCUGUUAGUGGACUGGGGGCUUGUUGAGGAAGCUGGACCAUCCAGGAGGAAGGUGAGAUAAGGAAGAAACAAUCUAUUACCAGAGGCAGGUAUUCUCUCCAGAGAGAGAGCAGAGACUUGAAGUUUCCUCUCAAGUGUAGUGAGAGGAAAUGGCUAAGAUGCGUUGGCCAGAGUUGUGUUCCCCUCCCUGUCCAUUUAUUCCCUGUCCUUGUAGGUCAAAGGAAACUCUGCUUUCUGUCCUCCUCUUCUGUUCCCCGAUUAAUACUGGGAUCUAAGCUCUAGAACCCUAGCAGAUAUCACCCUGGUCAAAUUUCUCUAAUUGUCCCUGGGUCCUUUGUCCUCCUAUGGGGACAGGAAGGGCAAACGAGGGCCCUAAGGGCAAAUGGCUUGCCUGGCAGCAGCAUUAAGACUCACGGGGCGGGGAGGGCAGGGCAGCUCCAGCCAGAAACAGGGCAGCUCAGUUCUGAGUCUACUGAGGAGAAAGAGGAGAUCCUACUGGGGAAAAGAUCAGAAAUGUCUUUUGCAUUUUUCCAAAUGAACCUCAUCACUAAACCUUUUGCCUAUCUUUCACUUGAUGUCUUGUUUCAUUUUUACCUUGUCCCUCUAAGCACAUUGUUUUAACCUUGAUUGUCAUUCUCCCUUCACUACUUUGCACCAACGUUGUUGGAAAUCCUGCUUCUAUUGAAUGGUUGUUUCUCCAUUCUAACUGAAUACUGCCAGCUUCCCUGGGCCUGACCUUUUAUGCCAAAGGCAGGACAGCAUUUUUCUACAUUGAAGCCAAUAGAAAAUGACUCAAAGGCUACAUACGAUAGAAAAGUUAUUAAAUGUGCAUUCUCAAAGACUUCGUGUAGAAAACAAAACUUAGUAUUUCUAUGUGCUCAUUGGACAAGCACACAUAUAUGCCCAAAUUGUAAUCAUACUGAACAUCCCAACUGACACUACUUUUAAAUUUAGUAUUACAUUAUGGACAUAUUUCCCAAGAGUUACAUGUAAUGUAUAUACAUAUGGCUGACAUAAGUUCCAUUGUACAGAUAUCAAAUUAUUUUUCGUUUUUACUUUAAUCAGGUCUUUAUUAAAAAUUAGCUGUCCAGAAUGAUUUGACGUUUAUGGAACAAAUAAACUGAAGCUUAUGCAGCAGGCUUCUUGUCUUACAUGGUGAUUUGGUCAAAAUGGAAAAUGAGAAGGUGUUUCCAAAGUGGAAGAAAUCUGAAGAAAUAACAUGCCAACAGGGACACACUGCUAGAUUUGAUGGCAAUGUUCUUAAGUGCCUGAGUUAUGUAGAAGUCCCAAAAUACCAGAGAACCCUAGAAAUAGAUCUAUGAUUGCAUAAGUGAUGAAUGUGGAAUGAGUUUCAGAGCUCCGUCCUUAUCCAGCAUCUGAGAUACACAGGAGAAAUGCCAUGAAAAUGAGAAAUGUGGAAAAGCUUGUAGUCCAAGAGUGCUGGCUUCAUUGAAGAUAAGAGAAUUCCCACUGAAUUAGACCCACAGAUAUGGAGAAUAUGGAAAAGCUCUCAGUGCGGACACUGGACUAGUUCAUCAUAGAGAACCCAUGCUGGAGAGAGACCCUAUAAUAAAAGUGACAAGUAUGGCAAAGCCUUGGACGGUCAGCCCUUAACCAGGACCAGAGACUUCACACCAAGGAGAGGUGUUACCAUCUUAACAAGUGUGGGAAAGGUUACAGUCAGAACACAGAGAUUUUUCACUAUCAGAGUUUGUGUUGGAGAGAAACUCUUCGUUUAAUCAAUGUAGUAAGAAUUUUCCUGGAUAUUUCAUUCCUUAUUAAAUACCAGAAAACUC